rnacentral:tRNA from 2 species
GUAAGUAUAGUUUAACAAAAACAUUAGAUUGUGAAUCUAACAAUAGAACCUGAAGCUUUCUUACUUACC